UUUCUUAUAGUGUAUUAAACAUAUUAUAAUUUCAUUAUAAAGAAGUAUUUAUGCUAAGAGGU
rnacentral:tRNA from 1 species